UUUCUAUCAGGAUGACAUUAGAAAGGUGUUGGCACAUCUUCGAUCCUUAUUUCUGUCUUCAGAUGGGUUGAGUGAUGCGAAUUCAUUUUCUCAAGAUCAAAAUCAGAAUCAGAAUUGGGAUUAUCCUGCGCAUUUUGAUGUGCUAUCUACCAUUUCCACGAGGCUGUCAAAAGAUAAGAAACGGUUUUAUAAUGUCGUUCCAGGAGCGUGAAAUUGGUCAUGGAAGGGUUGAAAAUUCCAGGACUGGAUGGUAUUGUUGCAGUUGUCUAUUGGAAGUACCGGUAUUUCUUGGAGAUGGAGUCACCGUGUCUGUUAUGGCUUUUCUUAAUUCAGAACAUAUGCUUCGUGAGGUAAGCAAAACUUCUUUAAUUCCUAAGAAUAAUGCUCCCCAAUCUAUCUAUGACGAUCGGCCUA
rnacentral:lncRNA from 1 species